AUUGAACGCUGGCGGCAGGCCUAACACAUGCAAGUCGAGCGGAUGAAGGGAGCUUGCUCCUGGAUUCAGCGGCGGACGGGUGAGUAAUGCCUAGGAAUCUGCCUGGUAGUGGGGGAUAACGUCCGGAAACGGGCGCUAAUACCGCAUACGUCCUGAGGGUGAAAGUGGGGGAUCUUCGGACCUCACGCUAUCAGAUGAGCCUAGGUCGGAUUAGCUAGUUGGUGGGGUAAAGGCCUACCAAGGCGACGAUCCGUAACUGGUCUGAGAGGAUGAUCAGUCACACUGGAACUGAGACACGGUCCAGACUCCUACGGGAGGCAGCAGUGGGGAAUAUUGGACAAUGGGCGAAAGCCUGAUCCAGCCAUGCCGCGUGUGUGAAGAAGGUCUUCGGAUUGUAAAGCACUUUAAGUUGGGAGGAAGGGCAGUAAGUUAAUACCCUGCUGUUUUGACGUUACCAACAGAAUAAGCACCGGCUAACUUCGUG
rnacentral:rRNA from 1 species